CAACUACUCCCUCUGUCCAAAAUUUCUUGUCUUAGAUUUGUCUAGAUACGGAUGUAUCAAGUCACAUUUUUUGAUACAUCUGUAUCUAGACAAAUCUAAGACAAGAAUUUUGGGACAGAGGGAGUACUUU
rnacentral:pre_miRNA from 1 species